AAUCAUUACAUUCAGUAGAGCAGUUAAGAGCGCUGGGGAACUUUCUAGCAAAACUUCUCAACAGUUCAGAGGACGAGGAGCAUGAAGGGCACCUGCAUCCCCUGAACAAGCUGCAUUCAUUCUCUGCCCUCAGGUUCAGGGGUUCGAUGAGUCACACACACGAGGGGCCGGCCCCACCAAAAACGGGGCGGGAGGUGGAGAAAUGAUUUUUUAAUGUAGCAGCAAAAAACAGGAGCCGCUUUAAGAAAAAUGCUUACCAGGCACUCCAUUCUCCCCGGCCUGCCAGAGGCAACACUGACACCCUAACACGUAGAAGCUGACCAUGAGGCGGCCCAGGAAGGCCAGGCCCCAGGGAAGGCCCGGUUACUGUCCAGCAGACCACGUCACCCCUACGUGCCCUGGAGAACAAGCACUGACCUGUGAGCGGCCCAGACGUGACCUGGCUUCUCCUAGCGCUCAAGUGUGUUCACCAAGGGGUCAGGAUCCCAAGUUUGCAAGCGUGAAUGUGGGAAGCGUGCAAGCUGGGAAACCGCUCUGGAAGCCACUCCGGCACAGUCCUGUAGAGGAGAACCUGCGCACCCUCUCGGAACCAGAAAUUCUCCUCCGAGGUGUACACUCAGAGAAACCCCUGCACACAAGUGUGAGUGUUCGUAACAGCAGCGUCUGUAAGGGCAAAAGGAGAAAAUACCCACUGGUAAGACUACAGAUUACACAGAAACACUGGAAAGCGCAUACCCAGCCGCCCUGCUGGAUGAUGUACUCCGCUGCGUGGUCCUCCAGGUACGUCACACCGAACUGCAGCAAAGCACUCAGAGGCUCCUGACCACGUC